AGUGAACGCUGGCGGCAGGCCUAACACAUGCAAGUCGAACGGCAGCACAGUAAGAGCUUGCUCUUACGGGUGGCGAGUGGCGGACGGGGGAGGAAUACAUCGGAAUCUACUUUUUCGUGGGUGAUAACGUAGGGAAACUUACGCUAAUACCGCAUACGACCUACGGGUGAAAGCAGGGGAUCUUCUGACCUUGCGCUAUUGAAUGAGCCGAUGUCGGAUUAGCUAGUUGGCGGGGUAGAGGCACACCAAGGCGACGAUACGUAUAUGGUCUGAGAGGAUGAUUAGCCAGCCUGGCAGUGAGACACGGUCCAGACUCCUACGGGAGGCAGCAGUGGGGAAUACUGGACAAUGGGGGAAAGGCUGAUACAGCAAUACCGCGUGGGUGAAGAAGGACUUCGGGUGGUAAAGCCAUUUUGUUGGGAAAGAAAAGAAGCACGUUAAUCCGCCGCUGUUAUGACGGUACCCAAAGAAUAAGCACCGGCUAACUUCGUG
rnacentral:rRNA from 1 species